rnacentral:rRNA from 1 species
CCUACGGGAGGCAGCAGUGAGGAAUAUUGGUCAAUGGGCGUAAGCCUGAACCAGCCAAGUCGCGUGAGGGAUGAAGGUUCUAUGGAUCGUAAACCUCUUUUAUAAGGGAAUAAAGUGCGGGACGUGUCCCGUUUUGUAUGUACCUUAUGAAUAAGGAUCGGCUAACUCCGUGACAGCAGCCGCGGUAAUACGGAGGAUCCGAGCGUUAUCCGGAUUUAUUGGGUUUAAAGGGUGCGUAGGCGGCCUUGUAAGUCAGCGGUGAAAGGCUGUGGCUCAACCAGAGGAUUGCCGUUGAAACUGGGAGGCUUGAGUAGGUGUGAGGCAGGCGGAAUGCGUGGUGUAGCGGUGAAAUGCUUAGAUAUCACGCGGAACCCCGAUGGCGAAGGCAGCCUGCCAAGCCAUGACUGACGCUGAGGCACGAAAGCGUGGGGAUCAAACAGGAUUAGAUACCCGAGUAGUC